rnacentral:lncRNA from 1 species
AUAUAUAUAGAGAAUUGAGCUAGAAUACUAUCGAUAACAAACGGGUUUCGUUGCCACCCAUUUGUUUUCGAUGAUGGAGCCUCUAAAUUGAUGAUCGACAUCGUUGAAUAUGAUCUAUACCACUUGAAGUGUUUAGAAAUCAAAUUUUAUACAUUUUCGAUAUUGUUCUCUUAUCCAUCGAGUGGACACAAAAAUGAACAGCUAAAAAUGAAUAUUCUUUAAAAAAUGAUGAUAAGAGUUUUGUAAUCAAGAUCAAGAGUAUAGAUCUUGUUUUAAAUAGUUUAAAGAAUUUUCUAACAAAAAUUCAAUUGAUUUUGAUACCUUUACGCCGUUAAACGAGAAAACGCCUCAUAUCGACCAUUAAGAUUACAAAUUUUGAAACCCUUUGAUCAUUAGGCAAAUGAUGUCGAAAAGAUUUGAAAUUUGAUUUCUAAACACUUCAANNNNNNNNNNNNNNNNNNNNNNNNNUAUAUAUAUAUAUAUAUAGAACUAGGUUGGAAUACUAUCAAUAGUACAAACCUAUUGGUGAUAUUAAUUUUUUAGCAUUUGGACUGAGAAAUAUGCGGUUAAAAUGAUGCGGGCCCCCUAGCGUUGAGUAGGUAGUUUGUUGAAUAAUAUAAUUUAACGGAUAAAAAUAAUAAAAAGGUUAAAUCUAACGGUGGAAAACUCGAUAGCACCAAGCCCUUGGUGCCAUCGAUAGUAUUCCAGCUCACCCAUAUAGAGCAAGGCUACUAUGCUUCUAGAAGCACGAAGCCUUCCGCGCUUCCAGCUCGUUUUUCAUGUUGCGACUUUCGAAUCAUCGAUCGGCUCCGUUAAACUUGAUCUAGAGUAUCUGAAGUACCUAGAAAAUAAAUUAUGUGAUUUUUUGAUAUUAUUUGCCUAUUGAACGAAGGGGCUCAAAAUCAACGGCUGAAAAUAAAAAUCUUACAAAACGUGAUAAUAUGACAUUAAAAUUUUAGAUCAAAGAUAUUGAUCUUGUUUUAUAUAGUAUAAAGAAUUUUCUAUCAAAAUUUAACGUAAUUUGGAUAUUUCUACACUGUUAAACUUCCAAACGGUUCACUACGGCUAUUAAAAUUAUUGAUUUGGAGCCCCUUCGAUUACUAGGCAAAUGAUAUCGAAAAAUCAUAAAAUUUAUUUUCUAGGUACUUCAAAUACUCUAGAUCAAGUUUAACGGAGCCGAUCGACGAUUUGAAAGUCGUAACAUCCAAAACGACCUGAGUGCACGGAAGGCUCCGUACUUCCAGAAGCAUAGUAGCCUCACCCUAUAUAUAUAUAUAUAUAUAUAUAUAUAUAUAUGAUGUUAUAUUUGAUGCAUGCAUAAUGGAUUUCACAAAGGAUGUGUGACAUUGAUUAGUCAGGUAGACUCACUAGUUUUUGCUGGUAGGGAAAUUAAUAUAUUUGAUGAUGCUUUAAUUCCUCUAUGUCGAUAAAUCAUCAUAUAGCUUAACCCUUUUUUUUUUUCCGUUAAUAUGUCCUACCCUAAGAACCUCUCGGAUGCAGUCACGAGAAUUUUUUUUUUCCCAAAAUGCUGAAAGUUUCGGGUGUCUAGUAAACGCACUAACCAACAUAAACUCAAACUUCCAAUCUCGUAGACUGGCUUGAUGAAUCAUAUAUAUAUAUAUAUAUAUAUAUAUAUAUAUAUAUAUAUAUAAAGAGAGAGAGAGAGAGAGAGAGAGAGAGAGAGAGAGAGAGAGAGAACUAUGCUAGAAUACUAUUAUAUAAUAGCACGAGAUCAUUAGAACUAUUAGGUUUUCGGUUUUGAAACGAAGCGAUGUGGAGUUAGGAUAGAAUGGUUUCUUAGAGUUGAGUAGAUAGUUGAUUGAAUAGUAUAAUCUAACAGCUGGAAAUAAUUAAAAAAAUAUAUUUAACGGCAAAAAAUUUGGUAGCACUAAAUAUUUUGCGCUAUCGAUAAUAUCGUAGCCGAAGUCUCUCUCUCUGUAUAUAUAUGUAUAUAAUAUGAAGUGUCUUG